rnacentral:rRNA from 1 species
UACGAAGGGGCUAGCGUUGCUCGGAAUCACUGGGCGUAAAGGGUGCGUAGGCGGGUUUUAAGUCAGAGGUGAAAUCCUGGAGCUCAACUCCAGAACUGCCUUUGAUACUGAGAAUCUUGAGUACGGGAGAAGUGAGUGGAACUGCGAGUGUAGAGGUGAAAUUCGUAGAUAUUCGCAAGAACACCAGUGGCGAAGGCGGCUCACUGGCCCGUAACUGACGCUGAGGCACGAAAGCGUGGGGAGCAAACAG